UACAGAGGGUGCAAGCGUUGUUCGGAAUUAUUGGGCGUAAAGCGCGUGUAGGCGGCUUUGCAAGUCGGGUGUGAAAUCCCUCAGCUUAACUGAGGAAGUGCGCCCGAAACUGCCGAGCUUGAGUACCGGAGAGGGUGGCGGAAUUCCCCAAGUAGAGGUGAAAUUCGUAGAUAUGGGGAGGAACACCGGUGGCGAAGGCGGCCACCUGGACGGAUACUGACGCUGAGACGCGAAAGCGUGGGGAGCGAACAGG
rnacentral:rRNA from 1 species